rnacentral:rRNA from 1 species
GGGGGGGAUGACGUCAAGUCAGCAUGGCCCUGACGCCCUGGGCGACACACACGCUACAAUGGCCGGGACAAUGGGCGGCCAAGCGGUGACGCGGAGCCAAUCCCCAAACCCGGUCUCAGUUGGGAUCGCGGGCUGCAACUCGCCCGCGUGAACGCGGAGUUGCUAGUAACCGCCGGUCAGCCAUACGGCGGUGAAUAUGUUCCCGGGCCUUGUACACACCGCCCGUCACGUCACGAAAGCUGGCUUCACCUGAAGCCGGUGGGCCAACCCGGGGGUGACCCUGGGAGGCAGCCGUCGAGGGUGGGGCUGGUGAUUGGGACGAAGUCGUAACAAGGUAGCCGUACCGGAAGGUGCGGCUGGAUCACCUCCUUU